rnacentral:rRNA from 1 species
UUGUAAGUGUGUAAGGGCGCAU